GGUCGGAUAGUCUAGUUGGUUAUGGCAUCUGCUUAACACGCAGAAAGUCCCCAGUUCGACCCUGGGUUCGAUCA
rnacentral:tRNA from 1 species